rnacentral:rRNA from 1 species
CCUACGGGAGGCAGCAGUGAGGAAUAUUGGUCAAUGGACGAGAGUCUGAACCAGCCAAGUAGCGUGAAGGAUGACUGCCCUAUGGGUGGUAAACUUCUUUUAUAUGGGAAUAAAACAGGGUAUGCAUACACUCUUGUAUGUACCAUAUGAAUAAGGAUCGGCUAACUUCGAGCCAGCAGCCGCGGUAAUACGGAGGAUCCGAGCGUUAUCCGGAUUUAUUGGGGUUAAAGGGAGCGUAGGUGGAUUGUUAAGUCAGUUGUGAAAGUUUUCGGCUCAACCGGAAAAUUGCAGUUGAAACUGGCAGUCUUGAGUACAGUAGAGGUGAGCGGAAUUCGAGGUGUAGCGGUGAAAUGCUGAGAUAUCACGAAGAACUCCGAUUGCGAAGGCAGCUCACUGGACUGCAACUGACACUGAUGCGCGAAAGUGUGGGUAUCAAACAGGAUUAGAUACCCCAGUAGUC